UGGGGAAUAUUGGGCAAUGGGCGCAAGCCUGACCCAGCAACGCCGCGUGAAGGAAGAAGGCUUUCGGGUUGUAAACUUCUUUUGUCAGGGACGGGUAGAAGACGGUACCUGACGAAUAAGCCACGGCUAACUACGUGCCAGCAGCCGCGGUAAUACGUAGGUGGCGAGCGUUAUCCGGAAUUACUGGGUGUAAAGGGUGUGUAGGCGGGGUGUCAAGUCAGAUGUGAAAACUGUGGGCUUAACCCACAAACUGCAUUUGAAAACUGAUACUCUUGAGAGUGGGAGAGGUAAACGGAAUUCCUGGUGUAGUAGUGAAAUGCGUAGAUAUCAGGAGGAACACCGGUGGCGAAGGCGGUUUACUGGACCACAACUGACGCUGAGACACGAAAGCGUGGGGAGC
rnacentral:rRNA from 1 species